GGAGAGGUGGCCGAGUUGGUCGAAGGCGCUCGACUCGAAAUCGAGUAGGCAGUGCUGAACUGUCUCGUGGGUUCGAAUCCCACCCUCUCCGCCA
rnacentral:tRNA from 1 species